rnacentral:tRNA from 1 species
GUCCCUGUAGCGUAAUGGAUAGCACGUUGGACUUCUAAUUCAAGGGCUGUGGAUUCGAAUCCCACCUGGGAUG